CCAGACCGCGAGCCCCGAGCCCCCUGCGGCCCCGCGCUCCGGGCGGCCCAGAGGACGCCGCGCCGCCCGCGGUGCCACGGACGCGUGAAACCGCUGCCCCCCCGCUCGUCCUCUCCCAGCAAACAGUGUCAUUCGACCUCCUGCUUCCUGGAGGACUCGUCCUGAAUCACUCCACCAGACUCCCCUCAGCCUUCAGUAGGACCUUUGCUGAUCUGGAUGGCUUACCUGGUUCGGUGAUCCUGACCCUUUCUGCUAAGUGAUCUGAACCACUGGCAUCAUCCCUUCUCAAAGGGUGCCUUUACCAUCAAAAUUGGACAAGUAAAUACCAAGUAGUCCACAGAUGGACCACCCAGUCCAUCUAGGUUUAUGGCUCCAGCAACACCAGGCAGCACAGUGCAGUGAAAACAGCACGGUCAGAGGAAGCCGGACCCUGAACCUGAUUCCAUGAUGACUCAUCGCCUAUCGCCUGUCACCUUGGUAAAGCAGAGACUUCUCAAAUCACAUUGAAAUGCUCUUGUCAUUAGGAAAGCCACACGCAUGCCACAAUGAGAAGCCUUCACACUUUCCCCACACUGAAGGGUUCCCAUGAAGCCUGGCGGACCACACAGUCCAGAGUAUCUAUAACUUAUAGAAAUAAAAAAUACUCCUUUGUGAACAAAUUGGAACAUUCAUCUUUUCUCCCUACCUGAUCCCUCCAGAAUUCAAAAACUCUAGUGCCAUCAGGUGUGAGAAACUGCAUCGUUCUCCCCCGUCACCACCAUCAAGAAGGUGACACUGAGAUGCCAGCUCCGUUCUGCACAGACGUCUUAAGUCUCUUGAAUGUCGGAUGAGUACAAAAGACUGGAAGGAAGGGUCAUUUUAGAGACCAAACGAAACGUGUUCAAAACGAGAUUUUAUUUGUGGCUUGAAAUCUUCAAGCACAACGCCCUUUGAAGUUAAAUUCUUACUACCUCACUUAUUUCAUCAGAAUUAAUACAAAAGACAUACUUACCAACCAAGACAA